GGCAGGGGCAUUGUCAUAGAUACUACUUGAUAUGGUGGUGCAUGCCCGGGACCCCCACACUUGAAGGACUGAAGCAUGAGGAUUGCUGCAAGUUUAAGGCCAGCAAGGACUACAUAGUGAGACUCUGUUAAAACUACAAAACAAAACAAAAAGAGGCAAAAUGCAUAGGAAGCAUACAGGAAUCAGGAGACUAACAUGGUCAGAGAUUCCAGUGACUGUCUAGAAUCAAAGUUUUCUCAACAAGCUGAAACCAAAAAGAUGAUUAUAACCUGGAAAACAUGUCUCUGGAACCUUUUGAUAGAGUCAGUUUGGAAUGCAAAGCCUUCACAUCAUGAAAAGUAGAAAGGCUGACGAGCACUCUGAUGUUCUAAAUCUAAGCUCUCUGGUUACCUGUGUCAGAGGACCUGCCUCAUGCUCAUGCCUCAGUCUCAUCACCUCAGCCCUUACCUCUUCCUCACUCAGCUCCUGAGGACAAACUGGGAGGAAGAAAUUGAGUUGGAGAGAAGUGAAUGAUUUGUUCAAGGUUAUAGAGGGUCUCCGUUGACUUACCCGCGGGCCGGGACAAGUGGCGCCCAACGUGCGGCCAGAGAACGGGGGAUCCAGUGAAGGACGCUGCUCAGGGGCCCUAAGAUUAAGAUUGAGGAACAAAGAGCACACUCGACACGGGAGAGGCUUGCAAUUGACGUGGACCUGCUGUCUUUUUGCACCUCGGUAAGUUGAGCAGCGAUUAUGGGACAGGGCAUUAGUCAGCACGAAUUGUUUGUGCAAGGUCUCAAGAAGACAUUACAGGCACGAGGGGUAAAGGUUACAGUC
ensembl:lncRNA